rnacentral:rRNA from 1 species
UCUCCAGACUCCUACGGGAGGCAGCAGUUGGGAAUAUUGGACAAUGGAGGAAACUCUGAUCCAGUGACGCCGCGUGAAGGAAGAAGGUCUUCGGAUUGUAAACUUAUUUUGUCAGGGAAGAAAAAAAUGACUGUACCUGAAGAAAAAGCACCGGCUAACUACGUGCCAGCAGCCGCGGUAAUACGUAGGGUGCAAGCGUUAUCCGGAUUUACUGGGUGUAAAGGGCGAGUAGACGGCGUUGCAAGUCAGAUGUGAAAACCUAGGGCUCAACCGUAGGACUGCAUCUGAAACUGUAAUGCUAGAGUGCAGGAGAGGUAAGCGGAAUUCCUAGUGUAGCGGUGAAAUGCGUAGAUAUUCGGAGGAACACCGGUGGCGAAGGCGGCCAACUGGGCUUUAACUGACGUUGAGGCUCGAAAGCGUGGGGAGCAAACAGGAUUAGAUACCCGGGUAU